UACUUGGAUUCGCAAUUAUGGCCGCUGCCGUAUGAUCGCGACUGGCGCUCAGCCGGCGUAAACAGUAUCGGAGGAGCGGGUAUUAUGUCCCGUUAUUUCUCGAGCUGCCAUGCAAAAAUAUGAGAAACUCGAGAAGAUAGGAGAAGGCACUUACGGGACUGUGUUCAAGGCAAAAAACAGAGAAACGCAAGAGAUUGUUGCGUUAAAGCGUGUGAGGCUCGAUGACGACGACGAGGGGGUGCCAAGUUCUGCACUGCGAGAGAUCUGUCUUCUUAAAGAACUAAAGCACAAAAAUAUUGUGAGGUUACAUGAUGUUCUUCACAGUGAGAAAAAACUUACUCUUGUAUUUGAGCACUGCGACCAAGACCUGAAGAAGUAUUUUGACAGCCUCAAUGGUGAAAUUGACCUCGAAGUUGUUAAGUCUUUUAUGUUCCAGCUUCUUCGUGGCCUUGCAUUCUGCCAUAGCAAUAAUAUCCUGCAUAGAGACCUCAAGCCACAAAACCUUCUCAUUAAUAAGAAUGGAGAACUAAAGUUAGCUGACUUUGGUCUAGCAAGGGCAUUUGGAAUUCCAGUUAGGUGCUACUCAGCUGAGGUGGUCACGCUUUGGUAUCGGCCACCAGAUGUUCUGUUUGGGGCCAAGCUCUACACAACGUCCAUUGACAUGUGGUCUGCUGGCUGCAUUUUUGCAGAGCUUGCGAAUGCAGGAAGGCCACUUUUCCCUGGGAGUGACGUUGAUGAUCAACUAAAACGGAUAUUCAAGCUCUUGGGAACACCGACUGAAGAUACGUGGCCAGGGAUGACACAGCUACCAGAUUACAAGUCGUUCCCGCUGUACCACCCAACAACCAGCUUUGCGCAAGUGGUCCCGAAGUUGAGCUGUAGAGGGCGAGACCUACUGCAGAAACUUCUAGUCUGCAAUCCAGCCGUGCGGCUCUCGGCAGAAGAGGCCAUGCAGCACCCUUACUUCAGUGACCUCCCAACCUCCAUUAGGAACGGCUGAUCAUCUAGGCAUCAGUGCAUCGUGGUAACCGGUCCUAAGGCACUGUCUGCUACCGUUUCACUUCAUUUGUUUCAUUUGAAUUCAGUAAUGUAUAUACAGUCAACAUUACAGCUAUCAUUUCAGUGUUACUAUGUUAUCAUUUCUUGUCUUUGUCUUUUCUCAAUGGAAGUUGAGUAUUGGAAUGGUCGUAGUGGAAUCGAUUAAUUCAACAAGUACGUACCUGAUCAAUGAUAGGAAUUUGAUCGAACAAUCAACCUCGGGCAACUCGAAAUUAAAUGCACUAAGCCUUGUGGGGAUAUUCCUUCCCGUGCCUAAUCCACUUAAAAUUAAUUUAGUGAAGCUACGCUGUGAUUGUGAUUUCCUUAUAAGUGUGUUGCGGUAGUGCUGUUGGGGAUGUACAUUUACAAACUGUGAGUGCAAUUCUUUUGUCUUUAAAUCAGUAGCUGAGCAUUGUGAAGUGCACUCUGGUAUUUGCACACACUGCUGAGACGGUGCCUGUCAAUUCCAGGCUGCGUGCCGAGAGUGGGAUAAAGCUUUUGACGACACCGACAGUCGGGAAACUUUGGUCCUUGAUGGUACAAACAUUGUAUCUCAGGUUGAUGCUGUUUGUCCAACUAAAAUUUUGUGAACGUUAAGGCAUGCUUUAUAAAAAUGCUGCAGUCUUUUGAUUGCUGUGCC
rnacentral:misc_RNA from 1 species